rnacentral:rRNA from 1 species
AUUGAUUUUAUGCUUGCAUAAAUGAUUUUUGGAUUCGGAGCGAGUGGCGAACUGGUGAGUAACACGUGGGUAACCUGCCCCGAAGCGGGGGAUAACAUUUGGAAACAAGUGCUAAUACCGCAUAAUUAGUUGGAACCGCAUGGUUCCAACUUGAAAGAUGGCUCUGCUAUCACUUUGGGAUGGACCCGCGCCGUAUUAGUUAGUUGGUGAGAUAAAAGCCCACCAAGACGAUGAUACGUAGCCGACCUGAGAGGGUAAUCGGCCACAUUGGGACUGAGACACGGCCCAGACUCCUACGGGAGGCAGCAGUAGGGAAUCUUCCACAAUGGACGAAAGUCUGAUGGAGCAACGCCGCGUGAGUGACGAAGGUUUUCGGAUCGUAAAACUCUGUUGUUAAAGAAGAACAAGUGUUAGAGUAACUGUUAACACUUUGACGGUAUUUAACCAGAAAGCCACGGCUAACUACGUGCCAGCAGCCGCGGUAAUACGUAGGUGGCAAGCGUUGUCCGGAUUUAUUGGGCGUAAAGCGAGCGCAGGCGGUUUUGUAAGUCUGCUGUGAAAGCCCUCAGCUCAACUGAGGAAGUGCAGUGGAAACUACAAAACUUGAGUACAGAAGAGGAAAGUGGAACUCCAUGUGUAGCGGUGAAAUGCGUAGAUAUAUGGAAGAACACCAGUGGCGAAGGCGGCUUUCUGGUCUGUUACUGACGCUGAGGCUCGAAAGCAUGGGUAGCGAACAGGAUUAGAUACCCUGGUAGUCCAUGCCGUAAACGAUGAAUACUAGGUGUUGGAGGGUUUCCGCCCUUCAGUGCCGCAGCUAACGCAUUAAGUAUUCCGCCUGGGGAGUACGACCGCAAGGUUGAAACUCAAAGGAAUUGACGGGGGCCCGCGCAAGUGGUGGAGCAUGUGGUUUAAUUCGAUGCUACGCGAAGAACCUUACCAGCUCUUGACAUCUUCUGCCAACCCAAGAGAUUGGGCGUUCCCUUCGGGGACAGAAUGACAGGUGGUGCAUGGUUGUCGUCAGCUCGUGUCGUGAGAUGUUGGGUUAAGUCCCGCAACGAGCGCAACCCUUAUUAUUAGUUGCCAGCAUUUAGUUGGGCACUCUAGUGAGACUGCCGGUGAUAAA